CUNNAGGAAGUANNGUCGUANCANGGUUUCCGUAGGUGAACCUGCGGAAGGAUCAUUAACGAGCUGAAAUAAAGAUAUAUAUAAUCGGGGUGCUAUCCGACGUGUAUUGUUGUACGGGAAGUUGUACACACAGUCACUAAGGAAAGAGCCCUCGAAAAAUAUAUCGAGUAGACCUAUUGGUGAUACGCGGUAGGCGCCUGAAUGCGCAAAGUCCGUCCAAUACGGUUGAAACUAUAUGAAAAAAGAACGAAAGUUUAUAAAUAACGCGUCUUGGUACCCCUAAGAGAGUAAAGUAGGGGGAAAGGACUGUUUCUUCGAUUACUCGAAUACGACUGCAUAACUGCAGUAAUUAGUAUCGGCUUUCUAUCGUAUAACGCGAGUGCGUCGGUUAAGUAGGUGUUCAGGGGCCUACCCGCCCACUCGGGAUACGCGUUUGCGAUCAGGGGGUGGCACGCGGUUUUUCGCAGCCCUAUCGGUACUAAUGAAAAGCACAGAUCGAAGUAACUGGUCCUCGCUUUUCUAUCGUAUAACGCGGAGUGCGUCGGUUAAGUAGGUGUUCAGGGGCCUACCCGCCCACUCGGGAUACGCGUUUGCGAAUCAGGGGGUGGCACGCGGUUUUCGCAGCCUUUGAGAUCAGCGAAACGAGAUCGCCGUCAGUUGGACGAGANUAUCGAGGACUGUCUGAAUGAAGAUCGUUAUGAAUAACGGACGUUCUAUAUUCAUUGCANCAGANGUCCGGGGAUCGAGUAUCNACCAAAGAAAANAAAANUGG
rnacentral:misc_RNA from 1 species